GGGGCUAACAAAGCUUUGACGAUUGAUUAACAUCUUGGAUGUGCAAACCGGCUCGCCCUCGUUAUGGGCCAACUUCUAAAUGCAAACGCAUUUUCUAAGGUGAAGACGGCUUUUGCUAACUUGUUUAGUAUGCCUGUCCUCUCCCCAGCGCUCGCCUAAUUGCGGCGCCGCCAACCUCUUGAGUUUCCGUAGAGAGCAAGGUGUUAUACACGGGAAUACGGGCUUACCUCGCGCCUGACGGGUUAAGUCAAGAAGACAAUUCUGGCGUGGCCAUCUGGGUUUGUCUGUUUAGACAGAUCGCCACUCUAAAAACAGCCUAAGUUUGUAGUGCACCAAGGUAUUAUCAGUCGGACCGGGAGGCAGUAUCCCGUAGCUCCACCA
rnacentral:tmRNA from 1 species